rnacentral:rRNA from 1 species
AGAACGAACGCUGGCGGCAGGCUUAACACAUGCAAGUCGAACGCCCCGCAAGGGGAGUGGCAGACGGGUGAGUAACGCGUGGGAAUCUACCUGGUUCUGCGGAAUAACACAGGGAAACUUGUGCUAAUACCGCAUACGCCCUACGGGGGAAAGAUUUAUCGGUGCCAGAUGAGCCCGCGUUGGAUUAGCUAGUUGGUGGGGUAAUGGCCUACCAAGGCGACGAUCCAUAGCUGGUCUGAGAGGAUGAUCAGCCACACUGGGACUGAGACACGGCCCAGACUCCUACGGGAGGCAGCAGUGGGGAAUAUUGGACAAUGGGCGAAAGCCUGAUCCAGCCAUGCCGCGUGAGUGAUGAAGGCCUUAGGGUUGUAAAGCUCUUUCAGUAGGGAAGAUAAUGACGGUACCUACAGAAGAAGCCCGGCUAACUUCGUGCCAGCAGCCGC